rnacentral:tRNA from 1 species
UGGGGUAUAGCCAAGCGGUAAGGCAACAGACUUUGACUCUGUCAUGCGUGGGUUCAAAUCCCGCUGCCCCAACCA